AAAUACAGGGACAUGGGACUGUUCUACUGUAACUGAGGCUUAAUAAAAGAAAUCCUUCACAAGAAUAACACCUUCUGCAUAGAAUGAACUGCUGUCUGUGAAAUUACAAUCUGUACAAUGGAACAGAACUGACCUUGUCACAAGCAAGUUACACACAGCCGAGUUUAUUCUCCCCUAAGCUGGUAACACGCUGUCCCACUCACAGUUCCACCCACGUCACAGAAAAAGGACCUAAUCCUGGAAUCCUAAUGCAGUCAAAACCACACUGACAACUGUUAUAUGAAAAGCUUGGGCCAGGUUAACAGGAAGGACCUGGCCUUCCAAGUCUUUAGCCACGGCCACACCUGUUGCCUUGGAACACCAUUAGAGACCCAUGAAGGGAGGCAGAUUGGCAGAGCUGGAGACUAAUACUGAAGUAAGAAACAUCUUCUGGAGAAUGGAUUCCAAAUGGCAAAAAUAGAUGGUAAAACAAAUAGAAGCUACUGGUAUCUUGUGAGCAUCUGCCAAUGUUCCAUAGUUUCUGUGGAGUGAGGAUUCAGAUUUCUUAUCUGUCAGCUCCUGCAGAAGAAAUAACCACUGAAGAAAUAACAAGAUCAUUGACUGGGGAGGCCACUGCUACAUCAGGAUUCUUCAAGCAACAUGCUCUACUUUGUUUAAUCCUUUAGCCUGAAGAGAAUUUUUAAUACUCUGUGCAUAGCACUUUGGGUGUUCCCUCCUCUAUUGAGCUCACUGGAGUGGAAAGCAGAGUUCUUUCUUGGAGUCCGUAGGAAAUUAUCUGCACAUGGGGACUUUAACUACUUCACACUCUGUUGGGGAUGAAUAUUAAGAGUGUUUAUCACCCUUUAAAAAGAAAACACAGUUGGAUCAUUUCUUCCUGUGUGGACUGCUAGGGGAAGACUCUGAAGAGGAUGGGAAAUCUGAGAGACCUCUUAAAUGUGUUCUGUGAAAUUCAUUACAAAAAGCAUUAUCUUCAUUGGAGAGGGAAGAAAAGGAAGCUUGGGAAAUGGAAGAAACUUGAGUUAGGACUGAUUUAACAGGCUGUUUGGUUGGUUGGUUGGUCGGUCGGUCGGUCGGUUUGUUUGUAACUUCUUGGAUCCUGGAUCUAUGAAAUUUAGCUUAAUGUGCUUUCACAUUUGUUUCUCUUUGUAUCAGGAAAGAUUUCUGAGUAUUUUUAACUUUAAAGACAACCAUCCCUGGCCUAAAUCUCUAUCUAUGAAGGACUGUGUCUGAUAGGGCCGGACUCUCGGUCAAAGGGGAGACCGAAGAGCAUAGUCUAC